rnacentral:piRNA from 1 species
UGAGAAGACUUCUUUAGGGUGUAGAUU